rnacentral:rRNA from 2 species
UCGAGAAUCUUCGGCAAUGGGCGAAAGCCUGACCGAGCGAUGCCGCGUGCGGGAUGAAGGCCCUCGGGUUGUAAACCGCUGUCGUAGGGGAGGAAGGUUCCGUGAAGAGCGGAAUUUGACCUAUCCUAGGAGGAAGUACGGGCUAAGUUCGUGCCAGCAGCCGCGGUAACACGAACCGUACGAACGUUAUUCGGAAUUACUGGGCUUAAAGGGUUUGUAGGCGGCCUUGUAAGUCAGGUGUGAAAGCCCUCGGCUCAACCGAGGAACAGCGCUUGAUACUGCAAGGCUUGAGGGAGACAGGGGUAAGCGGAACUGAUGGUGGAGCGGUGAAAUGCGUUGAUAUCAUCAGGAACACCGGUGGCGAAAGCGGCUUACUGGGUCUCUUCUGACGCUGAGGAACGAAAGCUAGGGUAGCGAACG